rnacentral:rRNA from 1 species
GAUGAACGCUGGCGGCGUGCCUAAUACAUGCAAGUCGAGCGAACGGACGAGAAGCUUGCUUCUCUGAUGUUAGCGGCGGACGGGUGAGUAACACGUGGAUAACCUACCUAUAAGACUGGGAUAACUUCGGGAAACCGUAGCUAAUACCGGAUAAUAUUUUGAACCGCAUGGUUCAAAAGUGAAAGACGAUCUUGCUGUCACUUAUAGAUGGAUCCGCGCUGCAUUAGCUAGUUGGUAAGGUAACGGCUUACCAAGGCAACGAUGCAUAGCCGACCUGAGGGGGUGAUCGGCCACACUGGAACUGAGACACGGUCCAGACUCCUACGGGAGGCAGCAGUAGGGAAUCUUCCGCAAUGGGCGAAAGCCUGACGGAGCAACGCCGCGUGAGUGAUGAAGGUCUUCGGAUCGUAAAACUCUGUUAUUAGGGAAGAACAUAUGUGUAAGUAACUGUGCACAUCUUGACGGUACCUAAUCAGAAAGCCCCGGCUAACUACGUG